rnacentral:ncRNA from 1 species
GUUAUCUUGCACGGGGUGCUUUUGGAAAAACUUUAAACGUUUUUCCGGCUGAGAACAUACCCGCAAGGGCUGUCCGCACGGAUGCCCUAUACCUGAUCCGGAUAAUACCGGCGGAGGGAGCAUGAAAAAUAUACGC